rnacentral:rRNA from 1 species
AACGAACGCUGGCGGCAUGCCUAACACAUGCAAGUCGAACGAGACCUUCCUGUCUAGUUGCGCACGUGUGCUGAACGCGGGGUAACCUGCCUUUAGGUUCGGAAUAACUCAGAGAAAUUUGAGCUAAUAACGGAUGAUGUCUUCCGGCCAAAGAUUUAUCGCCUUUAGGUGGGCCCUCGUUGGUUUAGGUAGUUGGGGGGGUAAAGGCAUGGCAAGGAGACGAUCCCUAGCUGGUAUGAGAGGAUGCUAAGCCACACUGGGACUGAGACACGGACCAGAACCCUACGCGAGGCAGCAGUGGGGAAUAUUGGACAAUGGACGAAAGCCUAAUCAAGCCAUGCCGCGUGAGUGAUGAAGCCCUUAGGGUUGUAAAGCUGUUUUACACGAGAUGAUAAUGACAGUAACGGGAGAAUAAGCACCGGCUAACUACGUG